GACGAACGCUGGCGGCGUGCCUAAUACAUGCAAGUCGAGCGAAGUUUUUCUGGUGCUUGCACUAGAAAAACUUAGCGGCGAACGGGUGAGUAACACGUAAAGAACCUCUCUCAUAGACUGGGACAACUAUUGGAAACGAUAGCUAAUACCGGAUAACAGUAUUUCUCGCAUGAGAGAUAUUUAAAAGUUGGUUAUGCUAACACUAUGAGAUGGCUUUGCGGUGCAUUAGCUAGUUGGUGGGGUAAAGGCCCACCAAGGCGACGAUGCAUAGCCGACCUGAGAGGGUGAUCGGCCACACUGGGACUGAGACACGGCCCAGACUCCUACGGGAGGCAGCAGUAGGGAAUCUUCCGCAAUGGGCGAAAGCCUGACGGAGCAACGCCGCGUGAGUGAAGAAGGAUUUCGGUUCGUAAAGCUCUGUUGUUAGGGAAGAAUGGAUAUGUAGUAACUAUACAUGUAAGAGACGGUACCUAACCAGAAAGCCACGGCUAACUACGUG
rnacentral:rRNA from 1 species